CGCGUAGGCGGUCUCUUAAGUCAGAUGUGAAAGCCCGGGGCUUAACCUCGGAAGUGCAUUUGAAACUAAGGGACUUGAGUAUGGGAGAGGGAAGUGGAAUUCCUGGUGUAGCGGUGAAAUGCGUAGAUAUCAGGAGGAACACCGGUGGCGAAGGCGACUUCCAGGACCAAUACUGACGCUGAGGCGCGAAGGCGUGGGGAGCAAACAGGAUUAGAUACCCUGGUAGUCA
rnacentral:rRNA from 1 species